AGAGUUUGUUUCUGGCUCAGAUUGAACGCUGGCGGCAGGCUUAACACAUGCAAGUCGAGCGGUAACAGGGGGUGCUUGCACCCCGCUGACGAGCGGCGGACGGGUGAGUAAUGCUUAGGAAUCUGCCCAGUAGUGGGGGAUAGCCCGGGGAAACCCGGAUUAAUACCGCAUACGUCCUACGGGAGAAAGCAGGGGAUCUUCGGACCUUGCGCUACUGGAUGAGCCUAAGUCGGAUUAGCUAGUUGGUGGGGUAAAGGCCUACCAAGGCGACGAUCCGUAGCUGGUCUGAGAGGAUGAUCAGCCACAUCGGGACUGAGACACGGCCCGAACUCCUACGGGAGGCAGCAGUGGGGAAUAUUGGACAAUGGGGGCAACCCUGAUCCAGCCAUGCCGCGUGUGUGAAGAAGGCUUUCGGGUUGUAAAGCACUUUCAGCGAGGAGGAAGGCUCUGAAGUUAAUACCUUCAGGGAUUGACGUUACUCGCAGAAGAAGCACCGGCUAACUCCGUGCCAGCAGCCGCGGUAAUACGGAGGGUGCAAGCGUUAAUCGGAAUUACUGGGCGUAAAGCGCGCGUAGGUGGUUAGGUAAGCGAGAUGUGAAAGCCCCGGGCUUAACCUGGGAACGGCAUUUCGAACUGUCUGACUAGAGUGUGGUAGAGGGUAGUGGAAUUUCCUGUGUAGCGGUGAAAUGCGUAGAUAUAGGAAGGAACACCAGUGGCGAAGGCGGCUACCUGGACCAACACUGACACUGAGGUGCGAAAGCGUGGGGAGCAAACAGGAUUAGAUACCCUGGUAGUCCACGCCGUAAACGAUGUCAACUAGCCGUUGGGACUCUUGAAGUCUUAGUGGCGCAGCUAACGCACUAAGUUGACCGCCUGGGGAGUACGGCCGCAAGGUUAAAACUCAAAUGAAUUGACGGGGGCCCGCACAAGCGGUGGAGCAUGUGGUUUAAUUCGACGCAACGCGAAGAACCUUACCUGGCCUUGACAUCCAGAGAACUUUCCAGAGAUGGAUUGGUGCCUUCGGGAACUCUGAGACAGGUGCUGCAUGGCCGUCGUCAGCUCGUGUCGUGAGAUGUUGGGUUAAGUCCCGUAACGAGCGCAACCCCUAUCCCUGGUUGCUAGCAGGUAAUGCUGAGAACUCCAGGGAGACUGCCGGUGACAAACCGGAGGAAGGUGGGGAUGACGUCAGGUCAUCAUGGCCCUUACGGCCAGGGCUACACACGUGCUACAAUGGCGCGUACAGAGGGCUGCCAACUCGCGAGAGUGCGCCAAUCCCUUAAAACGCGUCGUAGUCCGGAUCGGAGUCUGCAACUCGACUCCGUGAAGUCGGAAUCGCUAGUAAUCGCGAAUCAGAAUGUCGCGGUGAAUACGUUCCCGGGCCUUGCACUCACCGCCCGUC
rnacentral:rRNA from 1 species